GGGAGGCAGGUAGCCAAGUGGUUAGAGGGGAGAGGCAGGUAGCCUAGUGGUUAGAGUGGAGGGGCGGCAGGUAGCCUAGUGGUUAGAGUGGAGGGACGGCAGGUAGCCUAGUGGUUAGAGUGGUGGGGGCAGGCAGCCUGGUGGUUAGAGGGGAGGGGGCAGGUAGCCUAGUGGUUAGAGUGGAGGGACGGCAGGUAGCCUAGUGGUUAGAGUGGAGGGACGGCAGGUAGCCUAGUAGUUAGAGUGGAGGGGCUGCAGGUAGCCUAGUGGUUAGAGGGGAGGGACGGCAGGUAGCCUAGUGGUUAGAGUGGAGGGGCGGCAGGUAGCCUAGUGGUUAGAGGGGAGAGGCAGGUAGCCUAGUGGUUAGAGGGGAGGGAUGGCAGGUAGCCUAGUGGUUAGAGUGGAGGGAUGGCAGGUAGCCUAGUGGUUAGAGUGGAGGGGCGGCAGGUAGCCUAGUGGUUAGAGUGGAGGGCGGCAGGUAGCCUAGUGGUUAGAGUGGAGGGGCGGCAGGUAGCCUAGUGGUUAGAGUGGAGGGGCGGCAGGUAGCCUAGUGGUUAGAGUGGAGGGGAGGCAGGUAGCCAAGUGGUUAGAGGGGAGAGGCAGGUAGCCAAGUGGUUAGAGUGGAGGAGAGGCAGGUAGCCUAGUGGUUAGAGUGGAGGGGCGGCAGGUAGCCUAGUGGUUAGAGGGGGAGGCAGGUAGCCUAGUGGUUAGAGUGGAGGGGCGGCAGGUAGCCUGUGGUUAGAGUGGAGGAGAGGCAGGUAGCCUAGUGGUUAGAGUGGAGGGGAGGCAGGUAGCCUAGUGGUUAGAGUGGAGGGGCGGCAGGUAGCCUAGUGGUUAGAGGGGAGGGGGGGCAGGUAGCCUAGUGGUUAGAGGGGAGGGGCGGCAGGUAGCCUAGUGGUUAGAGUGGAGGGACGGCAGGUAGCCUAGUGGUUAGAGUGGAGGGACGGCAGGUAUCCUAGUGGUUAGAGGGGAGGGACGGCAGGUAGCCUAGUGGUUAGAGUGGAGGGGAGGCAGGUAGCCUAGUGGUUAGAGUGGAGGGGCGGCAGGUAGCCUAGUGGUUAGAGGGGAGGGACGGCAGGUAGCCUAGUGGUUAGAGGGGGAGGCAGGUAGCCUAGUGGUUAGAGUGGAGGGACGGCAGGUAGCCUAGUGGUUAGAGUGGAGGGGCGGCAGGUAGCCUAGUGGUUAGAGUGGAGGGGACGGCAGGUAGCCUAGUGGUUAGAGUGGAGGGGCGGCAGGUAGCCUAGUGGUUAGAGAGCGUUGGACUAGUAACGGAAAGGUUGCUAGAUCAAAUCGCCGAGCUGACAAGGUACAAAUCUGUCGUUCUGCCCCCUGAACGAGGCAGUUAACCCACUGUUCCCUAGUAGGCUGUCAUUGAAAAUAAAAAUUUGUUCUUAACUGACUUGCCUGGUUAAAUAAAGGUACAAAAAAAAUACAAAAUUGUCCCACCCCCAAGUCAUCUGAUAUGACUGUAAAGCUGAUCUUAUUGGCCAACACGACUGUCCAUCUUUCAUUUGACCCCGCCCCCCCAGUCUAAUGCUAUAUACCACAGGUCGUAGAGGUUUAAAAACUAAAUAUUCUUUGGUGCGUUAAUGUAAUCACUGGAGUUUUACGUUUUGAUGUUGUAAUUCAAGCUGUACGUUAUCGUGGAGAAUAUUGCCAAUAGGCUACAUGUGUUUUGGUAACAAUCUAAUGGUUCAUUUUUAGCUCAAACACAGACCACCGGGAAGCUUUUAACCUUGUAAGAUGUCUAGUGAAAACCAAGUGGACAGUGACCUCGUUGACUCUCUGGGCUGUGGUCGGUCACUGGGCCGACCGACCUAGUGACAUAUCAGCUAUGGAGUCUGGACAAUGACCUUGUUGACUCUCUGGGCUAGUGGUCGGUCACAGGGCCGACCGAUCUAGUGACAUAUCAGCUAUGGAGUCUGGACAAUGACCUUGUUGACUCUCUG
rnacentral:lncRNA from 1 species